rnacentral:rRNA from 1 species
ACCGAACCGACUAAUGUUGAAAAAUUAGCGGAUGACUUGUGGCUGGGGGUGAAAGGCCAAUCAAACCGGGAGAUAGCUGGUUCUCCCCGAAAGCUAUUUAGGUAGCGCCUCGUGAAUUCAUCUCCGGGGGUAGAGCACUGUUUCGGCAAGGGGGUCAUCCCGACUUACCAACCCGAUGCAAACUGCGAAUACCGGAGAAUGUUAUCACGGGAGACACACGGCGGGUGCUAACGUCCGUCGUGAAGAGGGAAACAACCCAGACCGCCAGCUAAGGUCCCAAAGUCAUGGUUAAGUGGGAAACGAUGUGGGAAGGCCCAGACAGCCAGGAUGUUGGCUUAGAAGCAGCCAUCAUUUAAAGAAAGCGUAAUAGCUCACUGGUCGAGUCGGCCUGCGCGGAAGAUGUAACGGGGCUAAACCAUGCACCGAAGCUGCGGCAGCGACGCUUAUGCGUUGUUGGGUAGGGGAGCGUUCUGUAAGCCUGUGAAGGUGUACUGUGAGGUAUGCUGGAGGUAUCAGAAGUGCGAAUGCUGACAUAAGUAACGAUAAAGCGGGUGAAAAGCCCGCUCGCCGGAAGACCAAGGGUUCCUGUCCAACGUUAAUCGGGGCAGGGUGAGUCGACCCCUAAGGCGAGGCCGAAAGGCGUAGUCGAUGGGAAACAGGUUAAUAUUCCUGUACUUGGUGUUACUGCGAAGGGGGGACGGAGAAGGCUAUGUUGGCCGGGCGACGGUUGUCCCGGUUUAAG